CCAACCAUCUGUGGUGAUCACUCCAUGCUCCUCCCUGAGUCUCAGGAGAUGGAGCCUGGCACGACAUCUCCCAGAAUUCCUUGCAGCAAGGUUCCAGAUGAGAUUGCAUCAAUGACAAGCACUGAGGUGCCAUCCAGAAGGGACACCGAUGGUGAAAGGCACAGAAUCGCAAUAGCUGGCCAGGUCAGCAGGGCAUCUUCCUGUGUGAUUGGCCAAAGCCUGUUUUGUUCCUUAGCAGGUCAGAGGGCAAACUCCUGCAAGCUCCUUCUAAAGCCCUCUGACGGUCUGGAAAGGAGCAAGGUGGUGAAUUCAGCACUUGGCCAGGGAAAAGCUGUACCUGCUUUAGAGCUGUAGGCUUGGGAUUAAAUGAGUUAAUGUUGAUAAAGGAGUUAAACUUGUGGUGCAUCCUGUUUCCAGGGCUUAUUUUUCCUUUUCUCAUCUUUCCAUUUUGUCUUGUUUGAUUCAUUCAGGGAAGCUCAUGGAAUAUUAAAACAAUUAAGGGAAAUUUUCACGCGAGUCAAAACCUUCCACAGUGCAGAAGCUCGCUUGAUUUUCCCUCCCUCCUUCAAAGCAUCAAUUUGAGGUCCCUGACGACUGAGAACUCGAUCAGGUGAGAUAACCCAUGAAGGUGGUAGGGCCUGACCUCUGCAAUAUGCUCGGAAGCUUAUUCUGGAAAGCUGUGUUAGGUACUUACGCAUGAAAAAUGACAUUUAUCUUUAUCGUCAGGUGGCAAAAUCCUUGACAGUAAGAAUUGUGCAUUUCUUCUACUUCUGUCUCUUGGGUACCCCCAAUUUUGGGUGCGUAGUAAUGAUGAGUAAAGGUUUCUUGAUUGCUCAGUGAGUGCAGCAUCCAUAUUCAGUUGUUAAUGCACUUUUAAGUUUACCAAACCUUUACUGCCUGGUGGUAUGUCAAUGUGAGAAAGAAAAUCAUAUAAUAAUCCCACAGGUUUGGAAUCUUCUAUAUGCUAGAAAACUAUGCACACCCACCCCUUCAUCUUCAUAGUGGUCCUCAGAGGGUCUUAGAUUUUCAGAUCGAGGAGUGAAGGUGCUCUGGUCAUGGCAUGAGCUCUUAACUACAGCUGCCUGACGAACAAAGGAGUCCUGGUCCCCCACUCAAAGGAUUUCCCAUCAUCAGAGGCCAAGACUGGGAGUGGAACACACGGGUGAUUAGGUCUGUGCCUGUAGGAAGACAUGAAGGAAGGUUUCAAUGGGAUAGAAGGCUGGAGAGGCAGCUGGGGUCCCAAUCCUGAGCCCAGAAUGUUGAGGGAAAUGUUGAGUCUGUCAGCCUCCAGGAAACCCAUAGCCGUCAGAUAUCACUUCCCUGUUUUCUAAUGAAAAGCUCUAUUCUUCCCUCCUGAAGUCAGCC
rnacentral:lncRNA from 1 species